rnacentral:rRNA from 1 species
UACGUAGGGGGCAAGCGUUGUCCGGAAUCAUUGGGCGUAAAGCGCGUGUAGGCGGUUCGAUAAGUCUGCUGUGAAAGUCCAGGGCUCAACCCUGGGAUGCCGGUGGAUACUGUCGGACUAGAGUGCGGAAGAGGCGAGUGGAAUUCCCGGUGUAGCGGUGAAAUGCGCAGAUAUCGGGAAGAACACCCAUGGCGAAGGCAGCUCUCUGGGACGGUACUGACGCUGAGACGCGAAAGCGUGGGGAGCGAACAGG